rnacentral:rRNA from 1 species
GACGAACGCUGGCGGCGUGCUUAACACAUGCAAGUCGAACGGAAAGGCCCUGCUUUUGUGGGGUGCUCGAGUGGCGAACGGGUGAGUAACACGUGAGUAACCUGCCCUUGACUUUGGGAUAACUUCAGGAAACUGGGGCUAAUACCGGAUAGGAGCUCCUGCUGCAUGGUGGGGGUUGGAAAGUUUCGGCGGUUGGGGAUGGACUCGCAGCUUAUCAGCUUGUUGGUGGGGUAGUGGCUUACCAAGGCUUUGACGGGUAGCCGGCCUGAGAGGGUGACCGGCCACAUUGGGACUGAGAUACGGCCCAGACUCCUACGGGAGGCAGCAGUGGGGAGUAUUGCACAGUGGGCGGAAGCCUGAUGCAGAAACGCCGCGUGCGGGAUGACGGCCUUCGGGUUGUAAACCGCUUUCGCCUGUGACGAAGCGUGAGUGACGGUAAUGGGUAAAGAAGCACCGGCUAACUACGUG